rnacentral:misc_RNA from 1 species
UACAGAGGGUGCGAGCGUUAAUCGGAUUUACUGGGCGUAAAGUGUGCGUGGGCGGCUUUUUAAGUCGGGUGUGAAAUCCCCGAGCUUAACUUGGGAAGUGCCUUCGAUACUGGUAAGCUAGAGUAUGGGAGAGGAUGGUAGAAUUCCAGGUGUAGCGGUGAAAUGCGUAGAGAUCUGGUGGAAUACCGAUGGCGAAGGCAGCCAUCUGGCCUAAUACUGACGCUGAGGUACGAACGCAUGGGGAGCAAACAGG